UACAUGGGGUGCAAACGUUGCUCGGAAUUAUUGGGCAUAAAGCGCACGUAGGCGGUUCGUUAAGUCGGAUGUGAAAGCCCUCGGCUCAACUGAGGAAGUGCACCCGAAACUGGCGAGCUUGAGUACGAAAGAGGAUCGCGGAAUUCCCGGUGUAGAGGUGAAAUUCGUAGAUAUUCGCAAGAACACCAGUGGCGAAGGCGGCUCACUGGCCCGGAACUGACGCUGAGGCACGAAAGCGUGGGGAGCAAACAGG
rnacentral:rRNA from 1 species